GUCCACGCUGUAAACGAUGAUCACUGGACGUCGGCCUUGUUUAACAAGGUCGGUGUCGAAGCUAACGCGUUAAGUGAUCCGCCUGGGAAGUACGGUCGCAAGACUAAAAACUCAAAGGAAUUGACGGGGGUCCGCACAAGCGGUGGAACAUGUGGUUUAAUUCGACACUACGCGAGGAACCUUACCUGGGCUUGACAUACAUUGGACCGUCGUAGAAAUACGAUUUUCUUAUCGCAAGAUAAGACCGAUGAACAGGUGCUGCAUGGCUGUCGU
rnacentral:rRNA from 1 species